rnacentral:rRNA from 1 species
UACGUAGGGUGCAAGCGUUGUCCGGAAUUACUGGGCGUAAAGAGCUCGUAGGUGGUUUGUCGCGUUGUUCGUGAAAACUCACAGCUCAACUGUGGGCGUGCGGGCGAUACGGGCAGACUUGAGUACUGCAGGGGAGACCGGAAUUCCUGGUGUAGCGGUGGAAUGCGCAGAUAUCAGGAGGAACACCGGUGGCGAAGGCGGGUCUCUGGGCAGUAACUGACGCUGAGGAGCGAAAGCGUGGGGAGCGAACAGG